UCAACUGUCAAAAGGGACUAUGUUCCCAU
rnacentral:sRNA from 1 species